CAGAUGAUAAAAAUAUGAUUGCUUCUCAGUUAAUACAAGGUGAAAAUACCUGGAUUUAUUGUAUACAGUUUUUAAUAUUAUGUUUUUAAUAGUUCCCCACACUGAGAUAUUAAAAAAAAUAAGACAGAGUGUUGAUAUUAACUUCGAAAGAAUACAUUUGACGACUAAGCACGAUAUUCACAAUAUCAUGCAAUCAUAUAAUUUGCAUGAUACAGCUAUAAGGCAUCAAAAUGACUCGCAAAGUGUAGAUUUGUGGGUGACUCAAGUAAGUACAAUCCAGCAAUGAAAAUUGCAUUUUAUUGUACAAAAAACAAGGAGAACAUCAUCCUAGCUUUUGUUUAAAAAAUUAAGACUUUUUAUUGGAUUUAAUGACUAACUGUCAAGGCGAGAUGUUAAAAAAGUUUGGAAGUGGAGGUAUCAUAUGCAUGGAUGCUACACAUGGAACAAACCCAUAUGAUUUUAAGCCAGUUUCAAUUUUGGUGGUGGAUGAUUUUGGGGAAGGCUUUCCAGUAGCAUACUUAUUUUCAAGUAGGGAAGAUUAUAUAGUUUUAAAAUAUUUUGUAACUGCUGUAAAAGAAUCUGUUGGGACUAUUAGGGCUACAUCAUUCAUGAGUGAUGAUGCAGAACAGUAUUUUGCAGCUUGAAGCUCGGUAAUGGAUACUGUUGAAACCAAAAAACUUUUAUGCAUGUGGCAUGUUGACAGAGCGUGGAGAUCCAAAGUAAUAGCCAUAAAAGACAAAUCUAAACAAGCUCAAGUAUAUAAAAUGUUAUGCACCUUAAGACAAGAACCAGAUUUCACCAAGUUUAAUGAAUAUUUAAUAGGAUUUAUGAACGUAUUAUCAAAAGAUCCAGAUUUAAGAAUAUUUAAGGACUAUUUUGAGAAAGAGUAUCUACCUAGAUGUUUAGUAUGGGCUGCUUGUUUUCGAGUAGGAACAGGAAUUAAUACAAAUAUGUAUCUUGAGUCCAUGCAUAAAGUUUUAAAAUAUAUCUACUUGAAAGGUGUUGCUUGUAGAAGAUUGGAUAAAACUGUGCAUGUUCCAUUACAAUAUGUGAAGGACAAACAAUUUGAAAGAAUUAUCAAGUUGGAAAAAAGCAAAGUCACUACAAAAAUAAGCAGGAUCAACAAAAGCCAUAUCAAUGCAAUAAAUUCCACAAAUAUGAUUGUUUCUACUUGUGAAAAUGGGUGGAUUGUAACAUCUAAAGACAUAUCUUGUAUCCAUAUCUUGUGACAGAGAAUAAGCUCAACGAAGGUCAUACAUGUAAAUUGAAAUGCUCCUCAUGCCUAUUCUGUGUUCACAUGUAUACAUGUAAUUGCAUGGAUUUUGUUGUAAAUUAUAAUAUGUGCAAACAUAUUCAUAAGAUAUGCAUGAAUAUGCCAGGACAAAGCACAUUUGUAGAUGAAAACCGUAAUGAAGAACUAACAUAUCAUAAAUCAUCAUUAAAAAAUCCAAACAUAAGUAACAUUGACAAUAAAAUUAGAGAGAAUAUUAAUUAUCUUCAAUGUUUUGACUGGAGGAAUAUCACAGAUCCCCAAAUAAAAAAUAAAAUAAACAGUUUUCUUCUAUCUGCUGUAAAACUAGCUGAUAUAAAAAGUGACGCAAGAUUUACCUUAUCUCCAAAAAAUAUAGCCGGUCCAGCGAAUAAAAAAAUUGUAGCUCAGAAUCGAUUUUUUUCUACAAUAAAAAAGAAGACAAAGAAGACAUCUACUCCUCGACUGGCGAAACCAAACCUACAGGAGAAAAAAGAUAUACAGGCGCAGUUGGAAAACAUUUUAUAAGAGUGUUGGAUAUAUAUUUUUUUUAAUAU